rnacentral:lncRNA from 1 species
GUUACGUGUGUUUGUGUAUGUGUUUUUGUGUGUGAGAGUGUGCGUGUGUGUGUGUUUGUUUGUGUGUGUACUAUGUGUGUUUGUGUAUGUAAUAUAUAUGUGUUAAUGUGUAUGUAUGUGUGGAUGGGUUUUUGUGUGUAUACGUGUGUGUGUUUUUUUUUGUUUGUGUGAGUGUGUAUGUCUGUGUUUGUUUGUGUUUGGGAGUGUUUGUAUAUGAGUGUUUAUGUGGGUGAUAUGUGUGUACGGGCGAAUAAGAGUGUGGGUAUAAGUUUAUAUAUGGGUGGGUGUGUGUGUGUGUAAUAUACGUGUCUUUGUGGAGGUGUGUGUUUUUGUGUUUGUGUGUUUAUGUGUGUGUGUGAAUGUGUGUAUUUUUAUUUGUGUUUGUUUUUGUAUUUGUAUGUGUGAGUGUGUGUGUGUGAGUGUGUGUGUGCGUGUGUGUGUUUGUGUGAGAUUGUAUGUUUUAAUGUUUGAGAGAGAGAGAGAAAGAGAAAAAGAAAGAGAGUGUGUGUCUAUAUGUUUGUGUGUGUGAUGUGUGUAUGUGUGUUUGCGUGUGUUUNUGUUGGUGAUAUGUGUGUAUAGGUGGAUGGAAGUGUAGGUAUAGGUUUGUGUAUGUGUGUGUAAUAUAUGUGUUUGUAUGGGCAGGUGUGUGUGUAAUAUGUGUGUNNN